rnacentral:miRNA from 1 species
GAGAGGAUGCGAAGGGAGAAUGGGAGAGAGAAAUAACAUAAGUGAAAAUGAAAACAAUUUCAAAUAGAUUUCAAUUUUUGAUUUUUGUUUUCACUUUUGUUACUUCUCUCUCCCAUUCUCCCAUCUCAUCUACCAUU